rnacentral:rRNA from 1 species
AAUCAACGCUGGCGGCGUGCCUCAGACAUGCAAGUCGAACGAUUAAAGCUCUCUUCGGAGAGUGUAUAGAGUGGCGCACGGGUGGGUAACACGUAAGUAAUCUACCCUCGAGUGGGGAAUAACAACCGGAAACGGUUGCUAAUACCGCAUAAUGCAGCGGCACCGCAAGGUGACAGUUGUUAAAGAUUUAUCGCUUGAGGAGGAGCUUGCGGCAGAUUAGCUAGUUGGUAGGGUAACGGCUUACCAAGGCUACGAUCUGUAACCGGUCUAAGAGGACGGUCGGUCACACUGACACUGAAUAACGGGUCAGACUCCUACGGGAGGCAGCAGUCGGGAAUUUUGGGCAAUGGGCGAAAGCCUGACCCAGCAACGCCGCGUGAAGGAUGAAGUAUUUCGGUAUGUAAACUUCGAAAGAAUAGGAAGAAUUAAUGACGGUACUAUUUAUAAGGUCCGGCUAACUACGUA